rnacentral:rRNA from 1 species
GAUGAACGCUGGCGGCGUGCCUAAUACAUGCAAGUCGAGCGAACAGACGAGGAGCUUGCUCCUCUGACGUUAGCGGCGGACGGGUGAGUAACACGUGGAUAACCUACCUAUAAGACUGGGAUAACUUCGGGAAACCGGAGCUAAUACCGGAUAAUAUAUUGAACCGCAUGGUUCAAUAGUGAAAGACGGUUUUGCUGUCACUUAUAGAUGGAUCCGCGCCGCAUUAGCUAGUUGGUAAGGUAACGGCUUACCAAGGCAACGAUGCGUAGCCGACCUGAGAGGGUGAUCGGCCACCCGGGAACUGAGACACGGUCCAGACUCCUACGGUAGGAAGCAGUAGGGAAUCUUACGCAAUGGGCGAAAGCCUGACGGAGCAACGCCGCGGGAGUGAUGAAGGUCUUCGGAUCGUAAAACUCUGUUAUUAGGGAAGAACAAAUGUGUAAGUAACUAUGCACGUCUUGACGGUACCUAAUCAGAAAGCCACGGCUAACUACGUG